GCUAAUCAACGUCAGGCGUCCUUAUGUACAGCCACCGUUGUUCUCAUAGAUAUGAAUGAGUAGAUAGGACACGCCCCUUUGAGCUGCGUGCUACAGCGAGGCUAAGCUAGUGGGGGAGAAGUUUCAGUGCAUUCCGUUGAUGUAGACGGCGUGAAAACGGAAACAAGAAGUAUGCCGUCUCACUGUACUGCAUACAGUUACACACUACGUCGUACGAUUGAGACAAGGAAACUUGGAAUGACUUUUCAUAGGUUUCCCAGAGACUAUGGGUUGAGGAGGAAUUGGAAGUUUGUCGGCUUAGACCUGGUGUCAUUCCAUCAGUGUUUAACUUCCCGGCUCAUCUUGGAAGAGUACGUGCCAGAAAGACCACGACCAAGCAGCCUUGAGAUCUUAGGCAGCGUCUCCCUCAGUUGCUGUAAAAAGUCAGUCCAUCCUGGCCGACAUCAACACCUCUUCAUGACAACUUGUUCUGCCUCCGACCUCGUGGAAACUCCAGAAACUCGGGAAAACCUGUGGAGACUCGAAGAACUCGUGGAGACUCGAAGAACUCGUCGGGUGGGGGAAGGUGUGGUGGGGAGGUGGGGGAGUAGAGGGGUGAGGCCGCCACCCACCUCCCCGCCUACUCUCCGCCCUGACUCCACCCAGGCUCCGCCUCAGCUCCACCCAUGUGGUCACUUGGAAACUACGAUGCCAAAGGGACGACGAAUUUAUUUCUUUUUAUCUGAUCUGUAGCUCAGUGAGUUAAGGAUUUGCCUAUGGAGCUGCAGGUCGCUGGUUCAAGACCAGACACUUCUUAAAUUUUCUCAAAAUCCUGACAAAGACAAACAAAGAAAAAGGCCGGUGGCGGGUCUUGAACCUGCGACCUUCCACUUGGUAGUCCUCUUCUUAUCCCCCUGAGCUACUCGCUCAGAUACUAAAACUUCUUUUUUUUGCGCAUUUAUCAUCUAUUUUUUGUCAUUUUCGAGUUUUUUUUUAACUCGAGUCUCGUCUCGACCGUUUUUCUCAGGAGGUUGGACUUCAGCCUUUGUGCUGGAGGGUGGAACCCUCAGUUCCAAGACUUUCCAAAGCCUCCAGACCUCCCGAGUCCUCAGGACCUGAGCUUUCAGACAGUCUGAGGGCUGAAAUUUUCUAAGUCCCACAGUAGUUCUCUGUUAGUUUGAACCUUCAGACAGUCUGAGGACUGAAUUCUUAAAAGUUCUUGAGUAGUUCUCUGUUAGUUUGAACCUUCAGACAGUCUGAGGACUGAAAUCUUAAAAGUUUCUCAGUACUUCUCUGUUAGUUUGAACUUUCUGGUUAACAGAAGCCUUAAAACUUGUGACCAUGAGUCUUGAUUUCACAUUUAGACCAUCCAUCUGAGUUCUUCUCAGACCUUCACCUGUGGGUUUUUUAGAAAUCCUGAACAAACUUUGAUUCUCUUCACUGAACAGUAAAGUUUGUGGAGAUCAGAAGGUAACGUUAGUUUGAUCAAUGCCUUCAACUACUAGUAGACUUUAUCUGGAAAUCAGUUUUCUGAAAUGAGUUCUUAGUAAAUCUGUCCACAAUCAAACCAAGAACAUAGAAAGAGGAAAUGUUUGAAGAAACAACUUGAUGUUUUCAUUUCAGACUAGAAAACACUAUCUGUUUUUGCUCUUUUUGAUCCUUUUAUUGUCUCUUCUGUUUAAUUUGAUCUUCUAAAGUUUAACUGGUG
ensembl:lncRNA